rfam:Murine hepatitis virus strain JHM, complete genome
ACACUCUCUAUCAGAAUGGAUGUCUUGCUGUCAUAACAGAUAGAGAAGGUUGUGGCAGACCC